rnacentral:rRNA from 1 species
GGGAGCUUGCUCCCAAAAGUUAGCGGCGGACGGGUGAGUAACACGUGGGCAACCUGCCUAUAAGACUGGGAUAACUUCGGGAAACCGGAGCUAAUACCGGAUAACAUAUGAGACCACAUGGUCUCAUAUUAAAAGAUGGCUUUUAGCUAUCACUUAUAGAUGGGCCCGCGGCGCAUUAGCUAGUUGGUGAGGUAAUGGCUCACCAAGGCGACGAUGCGUAGCCGACCUGAGAGGGUGAUCGGCCACACUGGGACUGAGACACGGCCCAGACUCCUACGGGAGGCAGCAGUAGGGAAUCUUCCGCAAUGGACGAAAGUCUGACGGAGCAACGCCGCGUGAGCGAAGAAGGUCUUCGGAUCGUAAAGCUCUGUUGUUAGGGAAGAACAAGUACCGUUCAAAUAGGGCGGUACCUUGACGGUACCUAACCAGAAAGCCACGGCUAACUACGUGCCAGCAGCCGCGGUAAUACGUAGGUGGCAAGCGUUAUCCGGGAAUUAUUGGGCGUAAAGCGCGCGCAGGCGGUCCUUUAAGUCUGAUGUGAAAGCCCACGGCUCAACCGUGGAGGGUCAUUGGAAACUGGGGGACUUGAGUGCAGAAGAGGAGAGCGGAAUUCCACGUGUAGCGGUGAAAUGCGUAGAGAUGUGGAGGAACACCAGUGGCGAAGGCGGCUUUGUUUUUAAAAAUUGACGUUUGAGGGCGAAAAAAGCGGGGGGGGAGAACACAGUAUUUAGUUCCCCCUGGUUUUGUCCCCCCCCGUAAAACGAUGAGUUUUUAAGUUUUAGAGGUUUUCCCCCCCUUUUAGUGGGGCAGCCAAACCCAUUAAACCAUUCCCCCUGGGGGAGUACGGUUCCCAAAAGACUAAAAUUCAAAGAAAAUUGACGGGGGCCCGCCCAAGCGGUGGAGCAUGUGGUAUAAUUCGAAGCAACGCGAAGAACUUUACCAGGUCUUGACAUCCCGUGACAACUUUAAAGAUAGAGCUUUCCCCUUCGGGGGACCCGGUGACAGGUGGUGCAUGGUUGUCGUCAGCUCGUGUCGUGAGAUGUUGGGUUAAGUCCCGCAACGAGCGCAACCCUUGAUUUUAGUUGCCAGCAUUAAGUUGGGCACUUUAAGGUGACUGCCGGUGACAAACCGGAGGAAGGUGGGGAUGACGUCAAAUCAUCAUGCCCCUUAUGACCUGGGCUACACACGUGCUACAAUGGAUGGUACAAAGGGCAGCGAAACCGCGAGGUUAAGCCAAUCCCAUAAAACCAUUCUCAGUUCGGAUUGCAGGCUGCAACUCGCCUGCAUGAAGCCGGAAUCGCUAGUAAUCGCGGAUCAGCAUGCCGCGGUGAAUACGUUCCCGGGCCUUGUACACACCGCCCGUCACACCACGAGAGUUUGUAACACCCGAAGUCGGUGGGGUAACCGUAAGGAGCCAGCCGCCUAAGGUGGGACAGAUGAUGGGGG